ACACCCCUAACAGCUAGCCCCUCCCCCAAAACCAACAAACACCAUUAAUAAGCCCUAAUAAACAACACAAACAAAUAACAAACCAUUUUUCCUCCCAAGUAUGGGCGACAGAAAAG
rnacentral:rRNA from 1 species